AGCAGCCGCGGUAAUUCCAGCUCCAAUAGCGUAUAUUAAAGUUGUUGCAGUUAAAAAGCUCGUAGUUGAAUUUCGGGAUCAAUAUAUCGGUCGUGCCUUGGUACGUACUGGUAUCAUUGGUCUCUCCUUUCUGACGAACCAUGAUGUCAUUAAUUUGGUGUUAUGGGAAGUUAGGACUGUUACUUUGAAAAAUUAGAGUGUUUAAAGCAGGCUUUGGCUUGAAUACAUUAGCAUGGAAUAAUGAAAUAGGACGUUCGAACCUAUUUUGUUGGUUUCUAGGAUCAACGUAAUGAUUAAUAGGGAUAGUUGGGGGCAUUAGUAUUCAAUUGUCAGAGGUGAAAUUCUUGGAUUUAUUGAAGACUAACUACUGCGAAAGCAUUUGCCAAGGAUGUUUUCAUUAAUCAAGAACGAAAGUUAGGGGAUCGAAGACGAUCAGAUACCGUCGUAGUC
rnacentral:rRNA from 1 species